rnacentral:rRNA from 1 species
GACGAACGCUGGCGGCGUGCUUAACACAUGCAAGUCGAACGGAAAGGCCCUGCUUUUGUGGGGUGCUCGAGUUGCGAACGGGUGAGUAACACGUGAGUAACCUGCCCCUGACUUUGGGAUAACUUCAUGAAACUGGGGCUCAUACCGGCUAGGAGCUCCUGCUGCAUGGUGGGGGUUGGAAAGUUUCGGCGGUUGGGGAUGGACUCGCGGCCUAUCAGAUUGUUGGUUUGGUAGUGGCUUACCAAGGCCUUGACGCGUAGCAGGCCUGAGCGGGUGAGCGGCCAAACUGGGACGGAGAUGCGGCACAGACUACUACGGGACGCAGCAGUGGGGAAUAGUACACUAUGGGCGGAAGCCUGGUGCAGCAAAGCAGCGUGCGGGAUGAGGGCCAUGGGGUUGUAAACCGAUUUCGCCUGUGACGAAGCGUGAGUGACGGUAAUGGGUAAAGAAGCUCCGGCUAACUACGUG